AUCGGAGUCUGCAACCCGACUCCGUGAAGCUGGAUUCGCUAGUAAUCGCGCAUCAGCCACGGCGCGGUGAAUACGUUCCCGGGCCUUGUACACACCGCCCGUCAAGCCAUGGAAGCCGGGAGUGCCUGAAGUACGCGACCGCAAGGAGCGUCCUAGGGUAAAACCGGUNACUGGGGCUAAGUCGUAACAAGGUAGC
rnacentral:rRNA from 1 species